GACUUCCUACGGGAGGCAGCAGUGGGGGAUAUUGCACAAUGGGGGGAACCCUGAUGCAGCGACGCCGCGUGGGUGAAGAAGCGCCUCGGCGCGUAAAGCCCUGUCAGCAGGGAAGAAAAUGACGGUACCUGAAGAAGAAGCCCCGGCUAACUACGUGCCAGCAGCCGCGGUAAUACGUAGGGGGCAAGCGUUAUCCGGAUUUACUGGGAGUAAAGGGGGCGCAGACGGCGAUGCAAGGCAGGAGUGAAAGCCCGGUGCCCAACCCCGGGACUGCUCUUGGAACUGCGGGGCUGGAGUGCAGGAGG
rnacentral:rRNA from 1 species